ACUCCUACGGGAGGCAGCAGUGAGGAAUAUUGGUCAAUGGACGCAAGUCUGAACCAGCCAUGCCGCGUGCAGGAUGACGGCUCUAUGAGUUGUAAACUGCUUUUGUACGAGGGUAAACGCAGAUACGUGUAUCUGUCUGAAAGUAUCGUACGAAUAAGGAUCGGCUAACUCCGUGCCAGCAGCCGCGGUAAUACGGAGGAUUCAAGCGUUAUCCGGAUUUAUUGGGUUUAAAGGGUGCGUAGGCGGUUUGAUAAGUUAGAGGUGAAAUUUCGGGGCUCAACCCUGAACGUGCCUCUAAUACUGUUGAGCUAGAGAGUAGUUGCGGUAGGCGGAAUGUAUGGUGUAGCGGUGAAAUGCUUAGAGAUCAUACAGAACACCGAUUGCGAAGGCAGCUUACCAAACUAUAUCUGACGUUGAGGCACGAAAGCGUGGGGAGCAAACAGGAUUAGAUACCCUGGUAGUCCACGCAGUAAACGAUGAUAACUCGUUGUCGGCGAUACACAGUCGGUGACUAAGCGAAAGCGAUAAGUUAUCCACCUGGGGAGUACGUUCGCAAGAAUGAAACUCAAAGGAAUUGACGGGGGCCCGCACAAGCGGAGGAACAUGUGGUUUAAUUCGAUGAUACGCGAGGAACCUUACCCGGGCUUGAAAGUUACUGACGAUUCUGGAAACAGGAUUUCCCUUCGGGGCAGGAAACUAGGUGCUGCAUGGUUGUCGUCAGCUCGUGCCGUGAGGUGUCGGGUUAAGUCCCAUAACGAGCGCAACCCCUACCGUUAGUUGCCAUCAGGUGAAGCUGGGCACUCUGGCGGGACUGCCGGUGUAAGCCGAGAGGAAGGUGGGGAUGACGUCAAAUCAGCACGGCCCUUACGUCCGGGGCUACACACGUGUUACAAUGGGGGGUACAGAGGGCCGCUACCACGCGAGUGGAUGCCAAUCCCCAAAACCUCUCUCAGUUCGGACUGGAGUCUGCAACCCGACUCCACGAAGCUGGAUUCGCUAGUAAUCGCGCAUCAGCCAUGGCGCGGUGAAUACGUUCCCGGGCCUUGUACACACCGCCCGUCAAGCCAUGGGAGCCGGGGGUACCUGAAGUGCGUAACCGCGAGGAGCGCCCUAGGGUAAAACUGGUGACUGGGGCUAAGUCGUAACAAGGUAGCCGUACCGGAAGGUGCGGCUG
rnacentral:rRNA from 1 species